rnacentral:tRNA from 1 species
GGCAGGUUUGCCUAGCGGCCUAAGGCAGCGGCUUGGAAAGUCGUAACCGGAAACGGUCGGGGGUUCGAAUCCCUCACCCGCCG